CCUUGGUCGUUGGGAGAGAGUGACACAAGAGUAACAUUCCCGCUGUCACCGCCGAAGGCGCAACCCCCAGGAACCGCUCAGGCAAAAGGGCCGACGACGCAGC
rnacentral:ncRNA from 1 species